rnacentral:lncRNA from 1 species
AAGGCAUUUGUGUAUUGCACCGGAGACUGAAAGAAGGGUGAGGUUUUGGGGGCUCUGAUGUGCAAGGUAAGGCACUCAGUGUUCAGAACAAUCCUCAUGGAUCUGUCAUGCUCAAAGGAACAGUGUUGAAAGAGUGAUUAUGGUUUAAGAUAAUUUGGCUGUCAACCAAAUAACAUGUUGUUGCUUACUGCUAUGUCAGACACUUCUGCUGAUUGGUGAAUUUUUUUUUUAAUUUAUUUUUAUUUUUUUAUUUUUCGAGAUGGAGUCUCUCUUAGUCGCCCAGGCUAGAGUGCAGUAGUGCGAUCUUGGCUCACUGCAAGCUCCGCCUCCCGGGUUCAAGCCAUUCUCCUGCCUCAGCCUGCUGAGUAGCUGGGACUACAGGUGCCCACCACCACGCCCGGCUAAUGUUUUUUGUAUUUUUAGUAGAGAUGGGGUUUCACCAUGUUAGCCAGGGUGGUCUCUAUCUCCUGACCUCGUGAUCUGCCCAUCUCGGCCUCCCAAAGUGCUGGGAUUACAGGCAUGAGCCACCGCACCCGGCCUGAUGGGUGAAUUUUUAAGAGGAAGAAUAAUAAGCAAAUAGACUAGUUUAAAAGCAAGGUAUCAUUUCCUUGGUGGAUCUCUUGAGAAGGAGAUGGAAACAGUGAUGGGGGACUUUGGCUUGGCCUCCACUGAGUCCCAGAACUUUUCUCUCUAGAGGUGUGAACCAUACCCCUCCAGCGUAUCCAUUUUCCCAUCAGUUUCAUACUGUCUGUGAACUUUGGUGAAUCAUCAGUCUCUCUCUUCUGCAGUGUUGCCACCUUUAAAUGGCCCCUUACUCUCAUAAUCAGUGCUGAGUAGUGGCAAGGGGGAGAAAAUGGAAAAGUUGGCAUGGGAGAGAAGGCAGAUCCAGAAGAUAGGAUACAGCUCAGGUAAAGGGCCAAAGGUCUCCUGAAAUGACUCUUCAAGGCAACUUCUUAGUGUUUGACUGCCUCUUUCUUACAUUCUUUUUAUUUUGCCCCAGCCCUGAGAAUGUGGCCUGAUUUUCUCUUCUGUUAUUACAACUGCUCUUCUGCUUGAGUUUCUUCUACACCUUCAAGAUGGCUGAAGAACAAGACGCUUUCUCUCCAUGUCUAUGCUGUUUCACUAUGCUGCAAAUAUUCCCAGCCUUUUCCCCUUGAUGCCCAAAAUAAAUUCCUCAAAUACCCUGA